rnacentral:rRNA from 1 species
UGGGGAAUAUUGCACAAUGGGCGAAAGCCUGAUGCAGCGACGCCGCGUGAGGGAUGACGGCCUUCGGGUUGUAAACCUCUUUCAGCAGGGAAGAAGCGAAAGUGACGGUACCUGCAGAAGAAGCACCGGCUAACUACGUGCCAGCAGCCGCGGUAAUACGUAGGGUGCGAGCGUUGUCCGGAAUUAUUGGGCGUAAAGAGCUUGUAGGCGGUUUGUCGCGUCUGCUGUGAAAAUCCGGGGCUCAACCCCGGACCUGCAGUGGGUACGGGCAGACUAGAGUAUGGUAGGGGAGACUGGAAUUCCUGGUGUAGCGGUGAAAUGCGCAGAUAUCAGGAGGAACACCGAUGGCGAAGGCAGGUCUCUGGGCCAUUACUGACGCUGAGAAGCGAAAGCGUGGGGAGCAAACA